CUAUGCGGGAGGGUCACACCUACACUAUUAUUUGGAGUCCCUAAAAACCAGGAGUAGAAAAAAAAAAAAAAAGAGCUAAACAGGAAGUGGUUUCGGGGAGUCUCAGCCCGGAUAAUAAAGUUUUUUUUUUUUUUUUUUAGGGUUAAAGAGCAGACGAGGCGCGCGGGGAGGGCUCCAGCAAGCUCCGACGCUCCCACACACGGACUCCCAGAUUUCCUCGGAAAAUCCACCGCCGCCCCGCAGGGCCCGCCGCCGGGGUCGGCCGGGAGGAAAUAAGAGAGCUGGACCUCCAGUUACCAAGGGAGAAGAAGGGGCAGGAAUCUGAAAAGAAGCCCAUCUGGAAGAAGGGGACGCCAAUCCCAAGUCCUUUGUGAAUGCCUGACCUCUAGUGAUGGGAGUGAGAAUGCAGGCUUCUGCUUUUUGUAACCUCAUGACAAGAUUCUCUUCCUCCACAAAGCAAAACAUCCCCCCCACUCCACCCAGAGCUCCCUACCACCGGGUACAGGACAAUCCGUGUAGAACAAAUGGAAUAUGGACAGAAGCACCUGCUUCAAACAAGAGGGUUUCAAUUACUCCCUCAGAACCUAUGCCUCCUUUGGAUAGCAGUGUUAUAUAGCACCCCCUUACUCCCAGGAAAUGAAAAUCACGGAUAACAUAAUCUGCCUACACAUAUAACUGUAAAAACUAGAUGCAUACACAUGUGCACCAAAAGACAUCAACACGAAUGUUCACAGCACCUUAUGCACAACAGCAAAAAGCUAGAAACAACUCCAAAGUCCACUUACAGUAGAACGGAUAAAUACAUGGUAUUAAAGCCGUACAGUGGAAUACCACGCAGCCGCAAGAAAGAACAAAGUUCCAAUUCACACAGGACAUUGACGACAUUGACGAAUCUCACAAAUAUGAUUCUGAUUGAAAGAACCUAGACACAAAAAAGUAUACACCAUAUGAUUCUAUUUAUAUAAAGUUCAAAGAUGGGAAAUUGUGCAGGAAGGCAGCAGGAGGGGACUCCCAGGCACAUGGAUUGCCUGAGGAUCUUGUUAAGAUACAGAUUCCAAUUUAUGGGUCUGGGAUGAGAACCCGAGAGCCUACAUUUCAAACAACCCACCAGGGCUGCUUACUCUGUUGGUCUAGAACCAUACCUGGAGAUUCCAGUUUAUGCUUUCUCAGCGGUGGCAUUAUUUAUAUUUUGGACCAGAUAAUUCCUUGUCAUGGAGGACUGUCCUGUACAUUGUAGGAUAUUGGGCAGGAUCCCUAACCUCUACCCACUGGAUGAGAGGAGUAGCCCCCUAACCAUGACAACAGCAACAAAAAUGCCUCCAGAUAUUGCAUGUGUCUCCUGGGAGAAUUGACCUCAGUUGAGAUCCACUGCUCUAGAAUCUACAAGAACUCUUAAAAUGUAACAGUUUAUAUGUUUAUGGGGUUAACUGGAAUAUAGAGAAGCUUCAAGUGCUGAGGCAGAGCAGACCAUGUAAUUUGUGAGGCCCAGUGCAAAAUAAAAAUAUGGGUGCUCUUGAACAAAGAGCACGGAAAAAGUGCUGCCAAAAGCACUAAACCACAAAGCUUUUGGCUUUAGAAAUACUUUAUCACUUUUAAACUAAUAGUGAUAACAGUGAUAUAUUACAUAUAACAACAUAAACUCGCAAAUCAUAAAACAUUAUUUGGGGUGUUAUUAUGCUGUAAAUAAUAAUACUUUAUUAAUGUUUGAUCUAGAAUAAUCCUAAGAAUUUUCUGGCUUGCUUUUCUGUAAAAUCAUUUAUUAGGUCAUCAAAAUGUAUAAUUUUAGAAACUUUAUUUUCAAUCACUGUAGUUGAGAAUGAUGUUAGUUGCUCUUGGCAAACGCAAGAUCGCAAAUAAUUUUCAAUAAUUUUUAAUUCUGAGAAAGAAUCUUCUGCUUAUGUAACCAUUACUGAAGCUGUUAAGAGUAUUUUAUGGGUUGUGACAACACUGGAUGGCAUUUCUGAUAUAUUAUCUCAAAAUAUAAAAUUCAGUGCAUUUAGAGCUGACAAUUCUUAGGGAACAUUUUUUCUAAGCAGAUUUAAUUCUUGAUACAAAUCAGUUUCAUGCAGGUCUGAAUUUGAUCUUAAAUGUAAGUUUGCACAAUGGCCUCAUAAUGUUCCCGCUAACAUUUCCUGUAACUUGUGGAGGUCAUACAAGAAACCGAAAGUGGCUUCGUCUGUUGUGUAUAAUUUAAAUCACCUACUUAGGCGCCCUUUCAUUGUCUCUUCAAUUACAAGGAAAGAUUAAUUUUGAA